GAUGAAGAACGCAGCGAAAUGCGAUAAGUAGUGUGAAUUGCAGAAUCCAGUGAAUCAUCGAAUCUUUGAACGCACAUUGCGCCCUUUGGUAUUCCAAAGGGCAUGCCUGUUCGAGCGUCAUUUGUACCCUCAAGCUUUGCUUGGUGUUGGGCGUCUUGUCUCUAGCUUUGCUGGAGACUCGCCUUAAAGUAAUUGGCAGCCGGCCUACUGGUUUCGGAGCGCAGCACAAGUCGCACUCUCUAUCAGCAAAGGUCUAGCAUCCAUUAAGCCUUUUUUUCAACUUUUGACCUCGGAUCAGGUAGGGAUACCCGCUGAACUUAAGCAUAUCAAUAAGCGGAGGA
rnacentral:misc_RNA from 1 species